CCUCUACUUCUACUCCAAUCAGCAUUUUACACAGCCCUGGAGACAGCCUGGGGACUCCAUCCAAGGGGCCCAGGCCGCGGUCAGGGGAGAAGGGAGCGGAAGCAUUCAGGCCUGGCGGGAGCAGCCAGCUCCCCACAACACCUGCCGCUGUCCGGGAAGUCCUUCCACCGAAGCUCCCUCCCUGCCCAGAACCUCAGGGCUCCCGGGAGCCGGCACAGAGGGCCCCUCAGCUGGAGCAUUUUAAGGGCUGGCUCAAUGUGCAGAAGUGAACUACCUAUCCUUUCUACCUGGCAGGGCAACUGAGGGGUCAAGUAACAUAACGGGUUUCUUGGGAAGAAGGGUCCUUGGAACUGAAGAUGAUUUUGGGGAGUGAAAGAAACCACCUUUUCCUGGUAGUAGCAGAGCCAAAACUCCAGCCUUCAACCCACAGACCCGGGUCUGUCCCCAGGCAUUAGCACCCUCCUCGGGGCCCCGUUGUCAUCUGUGACUUUUGCCUCCUGCAUCUCAGUUUCCGUGCCUGUCAAGUGGAGAUAUGAUACCUCAUUCUGGGGAGAGACAAUGAAGUACUGCGGUGAAAAGUACACGUGCUGUACAAAAUUAGGAAAUCCUCGUCACCAGACUUAGAGAAACAUACAAAGUGGAGUUGACUCCCAGGAUGGAGACACAGCUUCCCAGAAUCCUGUUUCACCUGAGGCACAGAAGCUUUCCUUUGUUCACCGUUGCCAGCAGUUAUUGGACUGUGGCUGGGAUUACCUGUCAGAAUUCACAGAUUUUCUUUGGAGCCAAAUAUGAGAUCGGUAUUUACAAAAAUUCUGAGGACAAAAUAAAAUGGUGUUUAUUUUUCAAUGGUAAGACACUGAAUUCUACGUAUGUACUAAAUCAAGCUUGUUAAUUAUAAUAUUGAGAUUCUCUAUGUCAUUUAUUUUUGUUUUACUAGAUCUCCCAAAUUCAGGAGUAAUUGAGCCCAGGAGGGCGAGGCUGCAGUGAACUGUGAUUGAGCCACUGCAGUCCAGCCUGCGUGACAGAGCAAGACCCUGUCUCAAAAAAAUAAAUAAAUAAAUAAAAUUCAAAAGUAGGCAUAUUUAAAGUAUUUUACUAUGGUAUAUGUGUGGGGGUAUGUGUGUGCAUGCAUAUACUUUAAGUU
rnacentral:lncRNA from 1 species